rnacentral:tRNA from 1 species
GAGCAUAUAGCUCAAGUGGUAGAGCACAUGCUUAGCAUGCAUGAGGGCCUGGGUUCAAUUCUCAGCACCUCCA